CCACUGGAAACAUCUGUUAUAUUACCAAGGCUUCUGACUGGAAUGCCAUGUUUGAGAGAUAUACAUAGACUCAGAUAUGACCAUGCAGUUUUAAGAAACUAAGGUUGACUUUUAUGAAACAUGGAGGCUCUUGGAAAUGUUGGCCUGACACCUUGCUUACAGAGUCCCAGCAGCCUUACCAGCUCGCCAGUUCUCACAUGGGACCAGAUGGGAAGGUGCCAUUGUGAGACCCAGCCUUCAUGCCAGAUUCCUGGGCAAUCUGGUCCUGCAUCUCUGCUGUGAGAAGGGGUAGGCUAAGGCUGGAAUCAUCUGGAGGCCUCCAGGAGGAGCCAUAGAAGAUGGCAGGUGUUUCAUGUGGCUGCACUAAGGGCUCUCAUGGCCUGGGUCCAGCCUAACAGGCCCUUUUUUGACCAAUCCUGGGAAAUCAUGUCCACUGCAUUUUAUUGAUUACAGCUAAAAGUACUGAAGGAAGCAUAUGAGCCCCCUGGCUGGUCUCACAUUCAGUUGGCAAAUCCUGCAAGUGGCCUGGCCAUCAUGCAGUAUCUCUUCAUCCUUUCCUAUGGGAAGGACUUCUCUUCCCUUUUCACCAACCUGAGAGGUAAGCAGAACCUCUGUAGGCAAGUUCCCUGCAGGCUGCCCUCCUGAGAAGAGGUCAGAAUGAGGGCUGCAUUAAGGCCUCCUUCUGGCAAAAGGGGAAGACAACUUCAGAGGACCAUCUUCCUCCUCAUAAAGUUGUCUCCAUUGGGUCUGGGAUUCAGGCUAUCAUCCCAGGGAAGGGUCUGGGACCACCUAAAAAUGAACGUUGUGUAGCAGAAGACCCUACAGGUCAAGGGGCCAUGGAGUGAAGCUGUUGUAAGCAACACCUUGGCAGUCCCCUGAUCUUGCCAAGGAAGGGAUGGGUGUAUCUCUAACCAAGCAGCUUAAGAUCCUGAAACCUGAGGGCCAGGUCCUCUCCAGGAGUCUGGUUCAACUCUGCUGACUGUGGGUCACUUUCCCAGGCUGUGAGAGGACAGGUGAGCAGGCACCUGCUCCUGUUUUGAGCUUUGAGAGUGCCCCUCCCCAUUCACUGUUCCAGAAACGCUGGCCUCUUGCUGCCCAGUCAUGUCCCUGACUGGAGGACACUGCUACAUCUCUUCCCUCACCUACAGGCCUUUCACAACUAUGUGCAAAGGUGGUGUGACCUGUUUUUGUAGCCAAUCCCAUUUAUUAAGCUUUUAUCCCACCAAUAAAAGUCUACUUCUAACAUACUCUCUGCUAACUAAGUGUCACCUGGUUCAGACUUAGUGAUAUCUUUGUAAUUGUUUCUGUUUCUGAUUAGGGUCCCUUUAAUGCUACCCAAGCACCCAAGGGUAUAGACUAAAGUUGACUCUGGCACACUCUUCUCAAGUGUUUUAAAGUAUGUUAUAGUCAAUAUAAAACAUGAGGAGGAAAUGGAUGGCUCCAGUCUUACCUUCAGGUUCUGACAAAUGCUCCUGGAAGAGUGCUUGCGUGUGUGCAUACAUGUGUGCAUGUGUGUUUGUGUUAUAGCUGUUCAUACAGACGGUGCCCAUAAUAAGCUGGGUAACUUGGAAGCAGUGGCUGAGCUGUCUGGGUAAGUGGAUUCACAGGUCUGAUGUGGGGGUCCUGGCUCUGAUGACUUUCUCUGAGCUCCCAGCAAGAUGGAGGAGGAGCAGGGGGAGGAGAGGUGGUGGCAGUUCGUUCACUCCUGGGUAGAAAAGAAUGUCUUCCUGAGGAUCACUGCUGUCUUCUUCUAAAGCAGCCCUGGCCAUCCAUUCCAUCUGAUUCCAUGGGCAAACAGGGAUGCAGGGAGGGGGUACAUGAUGUGACUUCUCCAUGAGAGGAAGCCUAAGGACUUGCCCCCCCCCCCAUUGUAAUGCCUUAGUGUGUCAGUCUGAAAAAUCAGGGGGCUGGACUCUGAUCCCUCCCAGUUCUGACAUUCUGAGCAUAUGGUCUGCGGUGGCUGUUGUGUGGGUGCUGGAAGAUCUGCAUGUGUUGGGAAAAUAGGCUUCAGAAUCAAGAGUAUGCAUGUAGCUCUGAGUGUUGAUGGAAGGCUGAGAGAAGCAUACUCCCUUCUGCUCAGUAGCGUCUGGGCAGUUUCCCUUUUCUGUGGGAACCUGCUCACCUUCUGCUUUUCCAGUGAAUACAUUUGCAACUUUAAUAUUGCGUUGCUGGGGAUUUACUUGGUUCAUUUAACAAAAUGAUUUACUGUGAUGGGGAUUGUUUGCUACUUGGCUUCCCUGUGAUAGACACCUGAGUCUGUGCUCUUCUGCAGAGCCGAUUGGGAAGGGACUCCCAUCAAGACCCCCUCUUCCUGCCACCAUGAAUUGUGUCAUGACAGACAUUGGUGAUAUAAUUCCAACAAAUGCAUUCACCUUUAGAGCCUUGAUUUAAGAACACCCACACAGAUAUGACAAAUGGCUAGUGUGUGAUUUUGGCUAGCAGAAUAUAUGCCCCCAGAAUCCAAUAUAUUUCUUAACCUCAUACAGUUUAAUAGAGGCCAGUGUGAAUUUGCUUGAGACCUAACACACCAUAACUCAGUCUGUUUUUUAUAGCUAAACUCUGGAAAUGAACUAAUGUCACCUCAGAGCUACAGAUUUGCAAAUAUAUGUUAAGCUAAGCCUGCUUUGCAGAGAAGGGUGUCAUCCUGAACAUUUCUUUAGAGCGUGUUGGGUUUGCCAGUCCUUAGAUGUGUGAAGGAGCGAUGCCAGUUGAAUGUGUGAGGCCAGCAUGGCCGUACUCUCUGGCGGUCUUCUCUCAGGGAGGAUUGUCAUGUCUUAAACUCUUGGGUCUGUUUGCCUAUAGACCAAGGAUAGACUCUCCUAGGGACAAGCUAAAAGAUUCUCCACAAGCAGUGAGGGCUUGGCAGGCAGAAAUUCACCUUUGUUUCCCAAACUCUGGCCCCUGGCAAGAGUCUGGCCAAGUAGAAUGGCCCAUUGACCAUGCUGAAGGAAGCUUCAUGGCUUGCUGGGUACUGCUGGCUGCAGAGCUGAAGCAUCAGUAUGUGAGUGGCCUGAAGACAAGAAUUACAAAGUGGUUCUGGUGUGUGUGGCCAAGGCAUGGUGGGAUGUUGGCUAAAGCUGAGAAGUAGGCAGGCACGUGACCAGCUUCUCUACACGGGUCUCUGAGUCCCUGGGAAGAAGAGAGGGGUUUUCUGGAGGCGUGAGGCUAGCUCUGCCUGGAUGGAAUGUCCUUUCCUCACCUACAAUACAUCUUUAGCACAGCGCCUUUGUCUUUGUUCAUCCCACCUCAUUAGAUAGACUUUUCUAGAGGGAUUGGAUCUAAUUCUAUGAUUGGAUUGUGACAAUAGCUAGCACAUGGCUGGCACUUCCUAAAUGUUUAAUAAAUAAUAAUAAUUAUCCUAAUGAUAGGCCUUCUGCUUGCUGACAGUUUCUGCCCUCCUCCCUCCCACGAGCUGCCAGCUCUUCUGAGGGUUCCUUCCUUCCCCUUUGCCUUCUUCACAACUCGGUGGCCACGAUCUAAGCCUCCCCUUUGCACUUCCCCUCCCUGGAGGAAUCUUUACAACUGUCAUGGGCAGACACAGGUCUCUUCCCUUCUAGGAUUCAUGCUCUUUCUUUUGCAACAUUUGUGAGCUACCACAGGGACCCUUGCACAGCUCACAGGAUGACCCAGAAGGAGAGUAAGCCUCGUUUAGUGUGGAGCCUGAAGGAGAGAGUGUUUUCUGGGAUGUUCAGAGCAAGUGCCAGCUUCAGCCCAUGGAGACCUGUACCCUGUCUCCCAGGGGGGUCACAGGCAGGGUGGGUAAAGCUAACAAUUACCCACAGUCCUGCUGCCUUCAUUUGAAGACUGUGUGAAUAGUUUGUAAUUAGCAAUUCUUUGUUGCUGCUGCCAAAAGGCUUGGAAACUGUCUUAUUAUUUCCCUCUUGAGUAGAGGCUCUCUUCAUGGAUUGAGCAAUUGGAGCCUGCUGUCUAGGUUUUGCUGGACUAUUAUUUGAUUUCUGAAUUUUUUGGAACCUGCAUAGUAAAGUUUCAAUGGAAAUAUGUGGCUAUUAUCUGAGCAGCAAUGCAGCUUUUUCCAAAUAAACAAUUCUUCAUGUAUUCACUUAAAAAUGUUUAUGAGAGGUUGUAUGUGAUGGUGAAAUGUAUAUGUGUGUGUCAGUUUUGCUGGGACACAGCAUUCCAGCAUUCAGAUAUUUGGUCAGACAGUAUUCUGGGUGUUUCUGUGAGGUGUUUUUUGAUGAGAUGAAAGCAGUUGCCCUUCAUAGUGUGGGUGGGCCUCGUACAAUCAGUUUAAGUCUUGAAACAGAACAAAAGCCUGACCAUCCCCUCCCCAGUAAGACAGAAUUCUUCAUGCCAGAUAGCCAUGGAACUGGGACAUCAGCUCUUGGUUCUACAGCAUU